rnacentral:sRNA from 2 species
UUGCAGCAAGGGUAUCAUUGCCAUGAGUGUUGCAUAUUUCUAAUCGCCGUACUUCUUCACUUCGAAUGCUUUUGUUUUCGCCUCGAUUCGCGUCUUUCUUGAUAUCGCUCAUCUCGUCUGCCCUUAUGGACACUCCUUGUUCACCACUCUCUUGCCUUAUAUAGGCAUUAUAUAUACAGUCCAGCCUCCCCACAGUUCUCCAAUAACCCGCCCCUCAUUGCUCUCGUCGCGUCAUAGCUUAUUGUCCUCGCGAGGCGUUACAUUGUGGGGUGGUGGAUAUUGGAACUUAACCCUAAGUUACACCGUCGGUUGUCCAUCAUGAAGGACGUGAGUCUCGCGGUCAAUAGUUGUCAGAUGCCUGAUUAACCCGUUUGAGCCGUUUGACUGUUCGAAUUGGGCGAAAGGGUAUUUGACGUCCAGAGCUUAAUAAAGAUGAUUUACUAUACGUUUUAAAGUGUCCAAAAGGAACACGUGUCAGUUUAUCUGCUGGGCUGAAAUUACUUGGAUCAGUGAAGGGAUGGUCAGUUGGAUGCAUCAUUCGUUUUUUGGGGAAGUGAAAUGGGAUAUGGUGGGAGGGACAUGCCGGACAAUCUCGCAUUGAGGAAUUGCCCUUGGGAGCCUGAAAAUCUUUGGAUCGCGCCGUUGGAUUCCUACUCUCGUUACACCCGCCCCCAGAUUUGUGUAGCGGGCUUAUCUUACCGUCUGUUGGAAAGGCAUUGAACUUCGAACGCAACAAAUCCAUCCGCAUAAGGAUGGUUGCCUUCACACCGACCACCGCCGAUGCAUUUGCGCGUU